UGGACUGUGAAAUCAGAACUGGGAGAAGAUCUGCUGCUGCUUCUGGGGAUUUGGUUCCAGCUUCUAGGUGCUUCCUUGAGAAGACAAGCACUUACUUGAGGGGCGGCUGCAGCCCCGGCAGGAGAGGGGAGGAUUCAGCGAGUGCAGCGGUUGGGCCUUGCCUUCCAGUCCGGGGACAGAAGCUGGAUAGACAGGGCUCUCCCGGGAGCUGCGGAAGGUGGUGCAGAAGCCGGGCGCUGCUGGAAGAUUCAGAGCGGGGGGAGAUGGGGGACGAGUUAGGCACGCUCCAGGACCUGGCACAUGUGUUCACCGUCUCGAUGGACAUUUGGGCUGUUUCAUUCUGCUCUAGUUAUGAGCACUUUUGUGCACACGUUUGAGUGCAGGGCUGGGAUUUGAAGGGGAGACUCUCCGUGUGGAUCCCUGCCCAUCUCAGGGGAAGAAGUGUUGACUUGGCAUCCAGCAGGCACCCCACUGCACGCUAAGCCACGUGGGAGAGCGUCUGGCCUGUGGAUUUGGGACUCAAAAAAGUCCAGAGGCACCCGUGCGGCCAGUACCUGCAGAGGAACCCAGCUCCUGGAGAAAAUAUGGGAUUGGAUGGCACAAGGAUUCUCUCUGCUGGCCACUGAAGGUUCGAGAUGGCUGUAGACAGUCCUGCCCCACGAAGGAGCUCAC